rnacentral:hammerhead_ribozyme from 1 species
AUCCAACUGAUGUGUCCCAAAAAGGACGAAACGCGUAUCCUGGAU